rnacentral:rRNA from 2 species
UACGUAGGGGGCAAGCGUUGUCCGGAUUUACUGGGCGUAAAGAGCGUGUAGGCGGCCACGCAGGUCCGUUGUGAAAACUGGAGGCUCAACCUCCAGCUGUCGACGGAAACCGUGUGGCUAGAGUCCGGAAGAGGAGAGUGGAAUUCCUGGUGUAGCGGUGAAAUGCGCAGAUAUCAGGAAGAACACCAAUGGCGAAGGCAGCUCUCUGGGACGGUACUGACGCUGAGACGCGAAAGCGUGGGGAGCGAACAGG